rnacentral:rRNA from 2 species
UGUGAGCUCGAUGAGUAGGGCGGGACACGUGGUAUCCUGUCUGAAUAUGGGGGGACCAUCCUCCAAGGCUAAAUACUCCUGACUGACCGAUAGUGAACCAGUACCGUGAGGGAAAGGCGAAAAGAACCCCGGCGAGGGGAGUGAAAAAGAACCUGAAACCGUGUACGUACAAGCAGUGGGAGCACGCUUAGGCGUGUGACUGCGUACCUUUUGUAUAAUGGGUCAGCGACUUAUAUUCUGUAGCAAGGUUAACCGAAUAGGGGAGCCGAAGGGAAACCGAGUCUUAACUGGGCGUUAAGUUGCAGGGUAUAGACCCGAAACCCGGUGAUCUAGCCAUGGGCAGGUUGAAGGUUGGGUAACACUAACUGGAGGACCGAACCGACUAAUGUUGAAAAAUUAGCGGAUGACUUGUGGCUGGGGGUGAAAGGCCAAUCAAACCGGGAGAUAGCUGGUUCUCCCCGAAAGCUAUUUAGGUAGCGCCUCGUGAAUUCAUCUCCGGGGGUAGAGCACUGUUUCGGCAAGGGGGUCAUCCCGACUUACCAACCCGAUGCAAACUGCGAAUACCGGAGAAUGUUAUCACGGGAGACACACGGCGGGUGCUAACGUCCGUCGUGAAGAGGGAAACAACCCAGACCGCCAGCUAAGGUCCCAAAGUCAUGGUUAAGUGGGAAACGAUGUGGGAAGGCCCAGACAGCCAGGAUGUUGGCUUAGAAGCAGCCAUCAUUUAAAGAAAGCGUAAUAGCUCACUGGUCGAGUCGGCCUGCGCGGAAGAUGUAACGGGGCUAAACCAUGCACCGAAGCUGCGGCAGCGACGCUUAUGCGUUGUUGGGUAGGGGAGCGUUCUGUAAGCCUGUGAAGGUGUGCUGUGAGGCAUGCUGGAGGUAUCAGAAGUGCGAAUGCUGACAUAAGUAACGAUAAAGCGGGUGAAAAGCCCGCUCGCCGGAAGACCAAGGGUUCCUGUCCAACGUUAAUCGGGGCAGGGUGAGUCGACCCCUAAGGCGAGGCCGAAAGGCGUAGUCGAUGGGAAACAGGUUAAUAUUCCUGUACUUGGUGUUACUGCGAAGGGGGGACGGAGAAGGCUAUGUUGGCCGGGCGACGGUUGUCCCGGUUUAAGCGUGUAGGCUGGUUUUCCAGGCAAAUCCGGAAAAUCAAGGCUGAGGCGUGAUGACGAGGCACUACGGUGCUGAAGCAACAAAUGCCCUGCUUCCAGGAAAAGCCUCUAAGCAUCAGGUAACAUCAAAUCGUACCCCAAACCGACACAGGUGGUCAGGUAGAGAAUACCAAGGCGCUUGAGAGAACUCGGGUGAAGGAACUAGGCAAAAUGGUGCCGUAACUUCGGGAGAAGGCACGCUGAUAUGUAGGUGAAGUCCCUCGCGGAUGGAGCUGAAAUCAGUCGAAGAUACCAGCUGGCUGCAACUGUUUAUUAAAAACACAGCACUGUGCAAACACGAAAGUGGACGUAUACGGUGUGACGCCUGCCCGGUGCCGGAAGGUUAAUUGAUGGGGUCAGCGCAAGCGAAGCUCUUGAUCGAAGCCCCGGUAAACGGCGGCCGUAACUAUAACGGUCCUAAGGUAGCGAAAUUCCUUGUCGGGUAAGUUCCGACCUGCACGAAUGGCGUAAUGAUGGCCAGGCUGUCUCCACCCGAGACUCAGUGAAAUUGAACUCGCUGUGAAGAUGCAGUGUACCCGCGGCAAGACGGAAAGACCCCGUGAACCUUUACUAUAGCUUGACACUGAACAUUGAGCCUUGAUGUGUAGGAUAGGUGGGAGGCUUUGAAGUGUGGACGCCAGUCUGCAUGGAGCCGACCUUGAAAUACCACCCUUUAAUGUUUGAUGUUCUAACGUUGACCCGUGAUCCGGGUUGCGGACAGUGUCUGGUGGGUAGUUUGACUGGGGCGGUCUCCUCCUAAAGAGUAACGGAGGAGCACGAAGGUUGGCUAAUCCUGGUCGGACAUCAGGAGGUUAGUGCAAUGGCAUAAGCCAGCUUGACUGCGAGCGUGACGGCGCGAGCAGGUGCGAAAGCAGGUCAUAGUGAUCCGGUGGUUCUGAAUGGAAGGGCCAUCGCUCAACGGAUAAAAGGUACUCCGGGGAUAACAGGCUGAUACCGCCCAAGAGUUCAUAUCGACGGCGGUGUUUGGCACCUCGAUGUCGGCUCAUCACAUCCUGGGGCUGAAGUAGGUCCCAAGGGUAUGGCUGUUCGCCAUUUAAAGUGGUACGCGAGCUGGGUUUAGAACGUCGUGAGACAGUUCGGUCCCUAUCUGCCGUGGGCGCUGGAGAACUGAGGGGGGCUGCUCCUAGUACGAGAGGACCGGAGUGGACGCAUCACUGGUGUUCGGGUUGUCAUGCCAAUGGCACUGCCCGGUAGCUAAAUGCGGAAGAGAUAAGUGCUGAAAGCAUCUAAGCACGAAACUUGCCCCGAGAUGAGUUCUCCCUGACCCUUUAAGGGUCCUGAAGGAACGUUGAAGACGACGACGUUGAUAGGCCGGGUGUGUAAGCGCAGCGAUGCGUUGAGCUAACCGGUACUAAUGAACCGUGAGGCUUAACCUU